AAUCAACGCUGGCGGCGUGCCUAACACAUGCAAGUCGAACGCGAAAGCCCCUUCGGGGUAAGGUAGAGUGGCGUCCGGGUGAGUAACACGUAGGUAAUCUACCUUCGGGUGGGGAAGUAACUCGCCGAAAGGCGAGCUAAUACCGCAUAAUGCAGCGGCACCUAAUGGUGAUUAGUUGUUAAAGCGGGGGAGUCGUAAGACCUCGCGCCUGAAGAGGAGCCUGCGGCAGAUUAGCUAGUU
rnacentral:rRNA from 1 species